GGGGAUGUAGCUCAGUGGUAGAGUACAUGCUUCGCACGUAUGAGGUCCUGGGUUCAAUUCUCAGCACCUCCA